GCUCAAUCAGCUUCCGCGCGAUUCUCAGUCGCCGGUUCAGCUAUCGAUAAUCAUCGCGCCUUCUCGAUCUUCUGGAUGAUCCAGACUGUGCUAACCGAUUAGCGUUCGAUGCUUCCUCAUGUCUCUCGGUAGAUUUUCCGAAACGUAUCGCGACCUGAGUCACUGUCUUCGUUAUCGUUGUCGCUCGAAAAGUCUCGUGCGCAUCAGCAAAUGCGACGAAGUCGCAACUAAAUUGAUAACUUCCGUUAAAUAUCCGGAGAAAACCUGGAGUUCGACGUCCCGGGAAAAUUCCGAGGAAUUGCGUUGCGUAGUUAUUAGAAAUCGACGUUGCUGUUAAAUCAUUUAAAUAGCAAUGGAAUUUAGUGCGAAAUUAUUCGCUCCACAUGGAUAUCGUUAUCGAUCUUUUUUGUUACCGAGGAAGUCGCUUUCCAUAAGGAGGAGCUUAAGUCAUGAACCUCUUAAGUUUUAUCUUCCAAUAUUAUUUUCAAACAUCUUUUCCUCAUCGAUUGCGAUAUUUUUCACGAUUAUAAAUUAUAAAACUGCUGAUAAUUAGAUGAUCACUAUGUUUUUCUCGACGAAAACUAAUGACGAUGAGAAGUGACGCAUAUGCAUCCGGUUUCAUCGAAGGAGACUUAAUAAUUUAUAUGAUCAAUCUUCCUUCGCGUGUAGUUUCUUUCAAUAUUCAAUCAUCAAUAAAAUCAUCGAGUGAUAAGAAACGAGCAACGAUUGUCGCUUCAGUCAACUGCGACUAUCUUGUUUUUGCACAAAGUUUAUCAACUUAAACUGCGAUUUUAGCAAAAUAUCACGCAACUGCAUACAGAUUCAGUUUCAAAGUUACAAUUAUCCCGAAUGCACAAAAUCAUUCAUUUUCUGUCACUUUUGUCGUGAUUCAAGUGUAAAGAAUCAUUGAGUCCGGACACAUUCUGUUUGUCCAUUUUUUUUUUCACUAAAAUUUGCAAUUGUCACGAUUGUUUCGUAGAUUCUUAUUACACGUGUAUUUCAGAUUUUACUAUUCAUGCUUGUUGUUCUUGACUGUCUGUGACACUCCGUCGCGAGAGUCGAGCGAUACGCAACGCGAUCGCACUGUUGAUGGCUGGCGAGCAUAAGAGCAACUGACUCCGAACGGCCACUCUAGAGUUAACCAUCCCCCACCACGAGCCAUGAGCACCCUUAUCUGCUGCACUCCGCUUGUGGCUAAUUCUCCUUGACGAAGAUACUCGGCGCUCGCUUUGUGUGGGUGCGAACGCAAGGGAGAUUAAAUCUGCGGACAACAAGAGUCAGUCUGUAUUUGUGGUGCCAUUGUUAACUGCACGACGCUUCUUUCUUCGCGAUGACCUGAAGUCUUUUCUUGGCCAAGAACGCAUAUCUAAUCGAUAGAUUCGAUCUUCUCUCCUUCACGAAAGUACCGUAGUGGUAGAAAGUGCGCAUAGAUCAUGAUGAUGAGCCAUAACGAGUGCGUGUCGAGCGAACCAGCAGGGAGAUCGUGCAUGGGGUAUAGUACGCCUGACAGGAGCGUGAUCCAAAUGCGCGCGCUCGCGCGAGAGGCUGAGUGAGUUGGAGGUCGGAGGUGUAUAUUGGCCAUUUCCGCAGGAAGCCCUAGGUAACCGUUGAGGUUCUAACUGAACGUGCCACGGAUCUAUGCUAUCGUUUCAUAACAUGCCAGUGCUCUGGAUUCGCGCCGGUGUUGCGCGUAGAACGUUCCCGAAACGCUCGAUCUCCGCUCUCGAUCUACCUCGCGUUCCUGCAAAUCGCGGUGGAAAGAACGAAAUUAAUCCUUCCUGGUUGACGUUGCAGUCAUUGGAUUAUUCAAAUCUAGAUGUACGCAUCAAAUUUCUCUCAUAUUUUAAUAGCGUGCAAAAAUCAAAAACUUUUGUUACGUUAAAAUAGAUAUGUGAAAAAUAUCUUACCAUCUAUCUAUCUUAAUAUCAUUACACGUUGAAAAAAAUUCAGUAUUGUAUUUAAAAGUUUAUUUCUUUUUAUUAACAUUUAAAGCUUGUAAUAAUCGAUUCUGAAACUCAAUAUUAAUUAAUAUUCUAUUGAAAUAAAGUUUACUGAGUAUUUCAAUUUCAAAAUAUGAUUUUCACGCAUAAUGUUUGAUUGGUUGUAACUCAACAUUUUUUGGAAUAGUUUAUAUGAUAUUAAUUUAACUUUUAUAUUAUAAUCUAUUUAAAUGUUUAGGAAAUUGUAUUAUGACAUGCUUAUUCAGAAAAGAUAAUUUAAAAAAAAAAAGUAACAAUAAAAAUGUAUAACUUUUUAUUUUUACUUCUUAAAAUGUAAUUUUGCAAACAAGAAAAUUAAUAACAAGCGUCUUAUUUUAUAAAUGUGUUCUUAAGAGAAACAGAUGUAAAAAUUUCUAUAUAAUAUUUUCUUUUCAAUAUAUGAUAAAGGAUACAAGAUAAGAAAGCCUUUCAACAAAAGACUAACUCGAUAAAAUCAAAUUUUGUUGACUACUGAAUGAAAAUAGUGUCGUAUGUCAAAUAUAUGCAGCACAUUACAAUUUACAUGAUAUUUAUGCUUGGAAUCAAAAAUAUUUUUUAGGGGUUUAGCUUGACAUAAAAUGUGACAAAGUUAAUAGUAUGCUAAUUGCGAUGACUAUGUAACUGGCGUCUAAUUCGUAAAUGAUGGUAGUUCGUCGACAUUUGUUUUGCAUACAAGGCAAUUGUGAAAUGAAUAGAACGGCUUUCAGACGUGAGUUGUCUAGAGUCUAGACGGCACUCUAGUCCAGAUCUACCCUGCUUUACUCUUGAUACACCAACAAUUCGGGUCUAUUAGGCCCAAUAAAGGGUAUCAAAGAGGAGGAAUCCGCCCCAAGUCAAUGAUAAAUGUGGUGUUUGUUGGACCGUUCGUGCACAAAUAUACACGAAUGCACAUGUGGGGUGCGGGUGGAUACCUAAUUUAGAUUGAAUAUAAGCAUCAGGGCUGUUUUGUUAUGAUAGAUGUACGUUUAUACAAUAUUUAAAGGUCUCAAAAAAUUGUUAUCUUACAUAAACAUAAUUUUUAAUUUAUAAAAAUUAAGAUAUUAGUAGUUAUCCUGUCAAAUUUAAUAUAUAA